rnacentral:rRNA from 1 species
GACAGAGGUGCCAAGCGUUAGGCGGAAUCACUGGGCUUAAAGCGUGUGUAGGCGGGUCGUUAAGUACCUUGUGAAAUCCCCCGGCUCAACCGGGGAACGGCUGGGUAUACUGGCGAUCUUGAGCCACCUAGGGGCAGUCGGAACAAGUGGUGGAGCGGUGAAAUGCGUAGAUAUCACUUGGAACGCCAAUGGUGAAAACAGACUGCUGGGGGUGUGCUGACGCUGAGACACGAAAGCUAGGGGAGCGAAUGGG